rnacentral:rRNA from 1 species
UUUUAGCAGUGAGGGAUAUUGGUCAAUAGCCUAACGGCUGAACCAGCAACUUUGGAGGAAUGUAUAGCAAUAGCUACUUGCAUCGUUAUUCUCGUAAAAACGAUGCAAGAUCGACUAUGUCGAAUAAAAUUCUAGGUAGAAUUAUGAUAAUGACAUUGUCUGCCUAUGUGUCUUGACCAAAUUACGUGCCAGCAGUCGCGGUAAUACGUAGAAGACUAGUGUUAUUCAUGUUUAAUCGGUUUAAAGGGUACCUAGACGGCAAAUCAAGCUUUAGAGGAAUAAGAUAUAAUGUCUAGAAAAAGGAACUAAUUUGCUAGAGUUACUUAUGAGGGGGCUUUAAAGUACUGCUGGUGUAGAGAUGAAAUUCUGUGAUACCUCUCUUCAAAAGAAGAACUACGGCACAGGUAUAGGCGAAGGCAUCCCCUUAUGGGCUAACUGACGUUGAGGGACGAAGGCUUAGGUAGCGAACAGGAUUAGAUACCCUAGUAGUCUAGGCAGUAAAUGAUGAAUGUCAUAGAUUAGAUAUAAGCUUAUUCUAUAAAUGAAAGUGUAAGCAUUCCACCUCCUGAGUAAUAUGGCAACGUUGGAAUUGAAAUCAUUAGACCGUUUCUGAAACCAGUAGUGAAGUAUGUUGUUUAAUUUGAUACCCCGCAAAAAACCUUACCACAAUUUGAAUAUUUAUAUUUUUUUUAUUGCUUUUUUAUUAAUUAAUAAGAAAAAAAAAUAUAAGGCAAUAAGAUAUAUUUACAAGCGUUGCACGGCUGUCUUCAGUUAAUGUCGCGAGACUUUGGUU